rnacentral:rRNA from 1 species
AUACGGAUGGAGCAAGCGUUGUCCGGAAUCAUUGGGCGUAAAGGGUGCGUAGGCGGUUUUUUAAGUCUGCAUUGUAAGUUCAGUGCUUAACGCUGAAAUUGGUGCGGAAACUGGAAGACUUGAGUACUGUAGGGGAAAGCGGAAUGCCCUGUGUAGAGGUGAAAUUCGUAGAUAUAGGGUGGAACAUCAAAAGCGAAGGCAGCUUUCUGGGCAGUAACUGACGCUGAGGCACGAAAGCGUGGGGAGCAAACAGGAUUAGAUACCCUGGUAGUCCACGCCGUAAACGAUGGAUGCUAGAUGUUGGCGGGAAUCUUCCUGUCAGUGUCGGAGCUAACGCAAUAAGCAUCCCGCCUGGGGAGUACGGUCGCAAGGCUGAA